GACGAACGCUGGCGGCGUGCUUAACACAUGCAAGUCGAGCGGGAUCCAACCGGUGGCAACACCGGGGAAGAUCUAGCGGCGAACGGGUGAGUAACACGUGAGCAACCUGCCCCGAAGACUGGGAUAACACCGGGAAACCGGUGCUAAUACCGGAUGUCGUCAUUAGGCCGCAUGACCUGAUGAUGAAAGGAUUCAUCGCUUCGGGAGGGGCUCGCGGGCUAUCAGCUUGNGGUGGGGUAACGGCCUACCAAGGCGACGACGGCUAGCUGGUCUGAGAGGACGGACCAGCCACACUGGGACUGAGGACACGGCCCAGACUCCUACGGGAGGCAGCAGUGGGGAAUCUUGCGCAAUGGGCGAAAGCCUGACGCAGCAACGCCGCGUGGGGGAUGAA
rnacentral:rRNA from 1 species